rnacentral:lncRNA from 1 species
GUGAAGAGCCGACCUGUUUCACUGUCCUGACUCACCACCAUCUUGGUAGUGUGCAAGACUCUGGGACGGCAUGAGAAAGGCAGAAAGGGAGCAAAGGAGCUGGUGGGGUGUCACAGGGCCUAUGUAUGAGGCAGAUGUGAGUUCUGCAUCCAGUUUUGCAAUUUAUCCAUUUACCUGCCUGAGACUUGGAAACACCUACUUUAUAGUCCUGAUUCAAGUGUUGGCGGAUGGAAGGGAGGAGACUCCUGACCCUCAGAAUGGUGCAGAGAACAAAUGGUUGAAGCAUUUCCUCUGGUUGCAGUCCUGCAAACUGCUUUCCAAAGACAGUACUGAGCCUCAGAUGAUGUAGACCUCCUCAAAGUCCUGAAGAGUAGAAAAAUGCUCCUCCCCUACAGAAUAAUUUUUUUUGGAAAUUGUGAG